UGCUCUGAUUCUUACAGCCCGCUCACAACAAAUAACGCUCUCUCUGAGGCUACCAUCAGUGUUACUGACAGAGAUUUAAUGAAGCUCAAGAAAUACAGUCUGCUCUUCUCAUGUGUCCACGAGACAGAGAAAAAGACGGAUGGACGGACGGACAGACAGACAAAUAGAUACCUUCAGCAGGUGUGAGUGAAUCCCCGGACUCCCGCCAGCCCCAGUUGUCAUGGUGAUUCGGGCACAUUCACUGAGCUGGCUGAACACCUUGGGAAUCCCCACCACCACCACCACCACCACUUACACCCCAUCUCUCCCAGUAUCGUCCAAAUCUCUCUAGGGGGAAUCUUCCCCUCAGCCUUUAUGGAAUUCACAGACACCGGCAGCCACUCUUAUGUGAGCUGUAGCGGAACCAUCAGGAUCAGCCAUGCCGUCUGCCUUUAACUUCUCACCUCCACCACCUAACCCUACCACCACAUCUACCUCUUUUCUUAUCCUGGCAUACUUUAAAAGAACUGUCCACAGAGGCCCUGACACACUCCUUUAUUAGCAUCCCAGCAUCCCACAUCCCAGCACUUACUGAAUAUCACAGUGGUGGGGCAGCAGAUGGUAAACCCAUGAGGUUUUUAAUGGAUACUAAUUGCUGCCAUGCUGGGUGAGUUGGUGAAGUUUCCACUGGGGUGAGGCCCAGUUGAACUGGAAAACUGAAAGUUUCCUUGGGUAAACUUUUAUAAUCAUAUCAGAGUCACUAAAACAUUCAUUUUAACAUAACACUCAUGCAUGGCUAUAACUAUACCACAUAGUGUUUUUUUAUGGGUUUAUAAUUGUGAACAGGGAUAAAGAGAAAAACACUGCAUUGCAAUGGUAUUUGAUUUAUCUUUGAGUGUCAUGCCUUUGGUAUACCCCCCCAAAAAAAAGAAAAAAAAGAAAAGUGAGGUGUACAGCUUGACAGUGAGGUCAGUCCUCCCAAUAUCAGUGUCUAAUGUUAGGCCUUCAGUGGUUUUUUUUUUUUUUAAUCUACAG
ensembl:lncRNA